GGGACUGUAGCUCAGCUGGUUAGAGCGCACCCUGAUAAGGUGAGGUCGGAGUUCGAGUCCUCUCAGUCCAU
rnacentral:tRNA from 1 species